UACAGAUGAAGCUUCGUUUGCUCACUUCCUGUUGUGUGGCCCAGACAGGGCACUGUCUGUGGCCCCAGGGGUUGAGGACCCCUGGCUUUAACAACAGAAAGGUACCAUCUUACAGUUCUGGAGGCCAAAGUCUGAUAUCCAGACCCCAGUUACUGGAUUGGGAUCCACCCUCACUCAAUAUGGCCUCAGCUUAAUGAAAGACAUCUGCAGAGACCCUAUUUCUACUAAAAGCCACAUUCUGAGACUUCUCGUGGGCGUGCUUUGGAGGCCAGAGUGCAUGCGUACGGGCCCUGCACACGCUGAAUGUCACUGGGAACAAGGACACACCCCGCUUCCAGGAGAAGAUAGAACAUGUCGACCCCUUUUACCAUAUGACACAUUAUCAGACCAAACCAGAGCUCUUGGUUUUCGGAUCUGGGGAUGAAUUCUUUAGCACAGAUGGAACCAUGAACUUCUAUGAUCAACUGCCAGGAAGGAAAUACCUCAGAGCCAUCCCCAGUGCAGGACAUGCUAUUGACUUCCAUGAGACAAACACCUACUUGGAAAUCAGGUUUUUUCUGUACCUUUUGAAGGAGCAGGAAUUUCCCAGCAUUUCCUGGACAAAGACGGAGGCCACAUUCGCUGCAUCCUUUCCAGCAAGAUGUCAUUCUGAGAUUUUUGUCAUUCCUGGGCGUUAUGAGGACUGCCAAGGGACACAAUUCCAUGGGAGGAAAGUUUUCUUCUAAGCUGCAAGCCAGCUCUGGCUUCUGGAGUUUCUCCUUAGGAUUGCAAGACAGUAGUUCCCUGUCCUUUAGGUCUUCUCCAGAAAUACCUUAAAAUAGCAAAUAAAAUAAGAUAUAAGCAAACAAAA
rnacentral:lncRNA from 1 species